UAUCGGUCGGUCACGGACAUUGUCCGACCCAUUCGUGAAAUUGUCCGACGUAGAAAAGAAACCACCGGACAUUCUGUCCGACCUAAGUGAAACUGAGGUUUAUUGUUUGUCCGACCCGAGUGUGUUGGUGUCCGACCGAACUGUAGCUUUGUCCGACGUAAAUCAAAAUGUACCCUAGCCCAGGAGGCCAGGACUAGAGGCAGACUUUUAUGUUAAAUGGAAAAUCAGAGUACUAUUGUAUAAAAGGUCAACUGGAAAUGUUGUUUUAACGCAGUCGAGCGCGGGGUGGCGAGCGAAAUGGUGAAGUGGAAAACGGGCUUAAGUUGUCGAAGUCUUUCUGAUACUGCUGUUCUGGCAAGCAAGUUAAUUUUGGCUUGGAAAUAAGUAUGAAAGAAACAAAUUAUUUAAUAUCUUUACAACAUUUACCGUUUAUUCAUUUGUGUCAUUCAUUAUUUCCGAGUCAAAAAUGAACUGAAGGUCAUCGGACAUAUGUCCGACCCAAACUCAACGUCACCGGACAUUUUGUCAGACGGCCCUG